rnacentral:rRNA from 1 species
CUGCAGUCGAGCGGAGAAGGGAGCUUGCUCUCUGAUUCAGCGGCGGACGGGUGAGUAAUGCCUAGGAAUCUGCCUGGUAGUGGGGGACAACGUUUCGAAAGGAACGCUAAUACCGCAUACGUCCUACGGGAGAAAGUGGGGGAUCUUCGGACCUCACGCUAUCAGAUGAGCCUAGUUGGAAAUAGCUAGCAGGACAACGAUCGGCUCACCUAGGCUAGCUCCACCUCGCGGUCUGAGAACCCUCUGUACCGACCUGGGACUGAGACGUGUUGCAGACUCCUACGGGAGGAAGCAGUGUUGAAUAUUGGACAAUGGGCGAAAG